GCCAGGCAUGUUGGCGCAUGCCUGUAGUCCUAGUGACUCAGGAGGCUGAUACCAGAGGAUUGCAAGGUUGAGGCCAGGCAAUUUAACAAGGCCAUAAGAAACUUAAUGAGAUCUUGUCUCAA
rnacentral:sRNA from 1 species